AGAGUUUGAUCCUGGCUCAGAUUGAACGCUGGCGGCAGGCUUAACACAUGCAAGUCGAGCGGAGUAUUGGUGCUUGCACCAAUACUUAGCGGCGGACGGGUGAGUAAUGCUUAGGAAUCUGCCUAUUAGUGGGGGACAACAUCUCGAAAGGGAUGCUAAUACCGCAUACGCCCUACGGGGGAAAGCAGGGGAUCUUCGGACCUUGCGCUAAUAGAUGAGCCUAAGUCGGAUUAGCUAGUUGGUGGGGUAAAGGCCUACCAAGGCGACGAUCUGUAGCGGGUCUGAGAGGAUGAUCCGCCACACUGGGACUGAGACACGGCCCAGACUCCUACGGGAGGCAGCAGUGGGGAAUAUUGGACAAUGGGGGGAACCCUGAUCCAGCCAUGCCGCGUGUGUGAAGAAGGCCUUUUGGUUGUAAAGCACUUUAAGCGAGGAGGAGGCUACUCUAGUUAAUACCUAGGGAUAGUGGACGUUACUCGCAGAAUAAGCACCGGCUAACUCUGUGCCAGCAGCCGCGGUAAUACAGAGGGUGCGAGCGUUAAUCGGAUUUACUGGGCGUAAAGCGUGCGUAGGCGGCUUUUUAAGUCGGAUGUGAAAUCCCUGAGCUUAACUUAGGAAUUGCAUUCGAUACUGGGAAGCUAGAGUAUGGGAGAGGAUGGUAGAAUUCCAGGUGUAGCGGUGAAAUGCGUAGAGAUCUGGAGGAAUACCGAUGGCGAAGGCAGCCAUCUGGCCUAAUACUGACGCUGAGGUACGAAAGCAUGGGGAGCAAACAGGAUUAGAUACCCUGGUAGUCCAUGCCGUAAACGAUGUCUACUAGCCGUUGGGGCCUUUGAGGCUUUAGUGGCGCAGCUAACGCGAUAAGUAGACCGCCCUGGGGAGUACGGUCGCAAGACUAAAACUCAAAUGAAUUGACGGGGGCCCGCACAAGCGGUGGAGCAUGUGGUUUAAUUCGAUGCAACGCGAAGAACCUUACCUGGUCUUGACAUACAGAGAACUUUCCAGAGAUGGAUUGGUGCCUUCGGGAAACUCUGAUACAGGUGCUGCAUGGCUGUCGUCAGCUCGUGUCGUGAGAUGUUGGGUUAAGUCCCGCAACGAGCGCAACCCUUUUCCUUAUUUGCCAGCGGGUUAAGCCGGGAACUUUAAGGAUACUGCCAGUGACAAACUGGAGGAAGGCGGGGACGACGUCAAGUCAUCAUGGCCCUUACGACCAGGGCUACACACGUGCUACAAUGGUCGGUACAAAGGGUUGCUACCUAGCGAUAGGAUGCUAAUCUCAAAAAGCCGAUCGUAGUCCGGAUUGGAGUCUGCAACUCGACUCCAUGAAGUCGGAAUCGCUAGUAAUCGCGGAUCAGAAUGCCGCGGUGAAUACGUUCCCGGGCCUUGUACACACCGCCCGUCACACCAUGGGAGUUUGUUGCACCAGAAGUAGGUAGUCUAACCGUAAGGAGGACGCUUACCACGGUGUGGCCGAUGACUGGGGUGAAGUCGUAACAAGGUAGCC
rnacentral:rRNA from 1 species